CGACCCCAGGGCAGGCGGGAUCACCGCUGAGUUUAAGCAUAUCAAUAAGCGGAGGAAAAAAACUAACAAGGAUUCCCUUAGUAACGGCGAGCGAACCGGGAAGAGCCCAGCUUGAAAAUCGAACGUCUUCGUCGUUCAAAUUGUAGUCUGGAGAAGCGUCCUCAGCGACGGACUGGGCCCAAGUUCCCUGGAAAGGGGCGCC
rnacentral:ncRNA from 1 species